rnacentral:rRNA from 1 species
UACGUAGGGUGCGAGCGUUUGUCCGGAAUUAUUGGGCGUAAAGAGCUCGUAGGCGGUCUGUCGCGUCUGCUGUGAAAACUCAGGGCUUAACCCUGAGCUUGCAGUGGGUACGGGCAGACUAGAGUGCGGUAGGGGAGACUGGAAUUCCUGGUGUAGCGGUGGAAUGCGCAGAUAUCAGGAGGAACACCUGCGGCAAAGGCGGGUUGCUGGGCUGAUACUGACGCUGGAGGCGCGAAAGCUAGGGGAGCGAACAGG